CGUCCGUCAGGGGUGAGCAGAUGUGCGCCGGCCGUACCGCCCCAUUCUUGUUCUACAUUACUCGGUUGCCUCGGCGGGCCGCGCUCUCCCAGGAGAGCCGUUCGGCGAGCCUCUCUUUAGUGGCUAAACGCUGGACCGCGCCCGCCGGAGGACAGACGCAAAAAAAUUCUUUCAGAAGAGCUGUCAGUCUGAGCGUUAGCAAGCAAAAAUCAGUUAAAACUUUCAACAACGGAUCUCUUGGUUCCGGCAUCGAUGAAGAACGCAGCGAAAUGCGAUAAGUAAUGUGAAUUGCAGAAUUCCGUGAAUCAUCGAAUCUUUGAACGCACAUUGCGCCCCCUGGCAUUCCGGGGGGCAUGCCUGUUCGAGCGUCAUUUCAGCCCCUCAAGCCCGGCUUGUGUGAUGGACGACCGUCCGGCGCCCCCGUCUUUGGGGGUGCGGGACGCGCCCGAAAAGCAGUGGCCAGGCCGCGAUUCCGGCUUCCUAGGCGAAUGGGCAACAAACCAGCGCCUCCAGGACCGGCCGCCCUGGCCUCAAAAUCUGUUUUAUACUUAUCAGGUUGACCUCGGAUCAGGUAGGGAUACCCGCUGAACUUAAGCAUAUCAAUAAGCGGAGGAAAAGAAACCAACAGGGAUUGCCCCAGUAACGGCGAGUGAAGCGGCAAGAGCUCAAAUUUGAAAUCUGGCCUCCCCCGGGGGCCCGAGUUGUAAUUUGCAGAGGAUGCUUCGGGUGCGGCCGCCGUCUAAGUUCCUUGGAAGCAGGACGUCAGAGAGGGUGAGAAUCCCGUCUUGGGCGGGCGGUCCGCGCCCGUGUGAAGCUCCUUCGAGCGAGUCGAGUUGUUUGGGAAUGCAGCUCUAA
rnacentral:rRNA from 1 species